AAAUACACCGUUUACGUUCAUGGCCAGGCUUGAGGAAGAGUUGCUACGCAACGUUAACGUGCUGGUAACGUUACGUAAUUACGUAGCGCAGUAACUAAUUAUUAAAAAGUCAAGACCGGAAACCUUGUUUUUUCAAACGGUGGUUUGCUUGACAGGCUGGUCCCACCAACCCGCACCGCCACAACAGCUGGGGGAGGAUUUCCGACCCAGUCACAGCGAAGAUGGUGGCAGCUUCAGGAAUGGAGAUAGUACGUUCUCUCGGAUAAAGACGGAAAAGCAGCCGCAAAACUCACGCUUUUAUGUCUGUUUUUAUAUAGCUCCUCCACAACUCCAGCAGAGACAGAGACAGAGAGAGAGAGAGAGAGUUACAUCAGGGGGGAAAAGGGAGGCAACCAGUGGCGGACGGAAGAGGACGCACCACAGCCAGAGCGCACAGUGUUGUGUUUGUUGGACACAUGCAUGCCAGCGAAAACUAGUGCUAUCCAGACCUAAGGAAUUGGUUGAGAUAAGGAGAUAGUACCGUUUGUGGGACGAUUUUUAUUUUUAUUUUUUGGGGGUGGGAUAAUCCCACCGAAGACAUAUCCAAAGAGUUUUCCUUUAUUGCUCUGGGGAUUUUCUACUUCUUUGCUCUUGGGGGAAUGCGAGGGGAGGAAAUCCAGCCUCAGCUGCAAAUAACCAGAGACUCCUAACUGGGUCUCCUCUCCAAACGCAGGAAAUACGGCCUGGGAAAAAAAAAAAAAAAAGAAAAAAGUUUGGGAGCUUUUGGAAACGAGAGGGGGGCCUAUCACUGACGUUUUGCAUGCGUUUUACGACGUGAUUUUUUUUUUUAAAUAGUAAGGUUUUUGUAAGUGCAUUGCGCGCUCCUGUUAUCCCACAGAGUAAGUUGAAGAAGAAGAAAAAAACUUGAAAUGUUAACACGCCGUUGGUGUUGUUACUGCAAGAGUUUUGAUCAUCACUAUUUAUAGACCAGCCUGUUCCGACCGAGGCUGUUCCUCAUAGCUGUAUAUUUUGCCAACUGCGCGCAACAAGUUGCAGACACUCCCAGCAGAGGCAAACCUACACUAGUUUGGGGCCAGCGGAUGGUAUUUUCUGCGCUUCUCUUUUCGGAUUACGCGUCUUUGAAUAGCGCAUACCCCCCUCCUCCUCCUCCACCUCCCCGACCCCCUCUUUGGAAGGCAGAAGGGGAAUAAACGGUGGAGAUCCGGAGAGGGAGUUCAGGAAAGGACGGGGCUGGAUCCGUGGGAAUAGGCCUGCCUGUCAGGCCUCUUAUGAUCUGGAUCUUGGACUGGACAGGGCUCCGAAAUAAACUCAAGUCUGGAAUAUUUUCAAGGGAGUAAAAAAAAAAAGAUGGAAGGAGAAUGUAUGGGAGUAAGAAAUAGAAAUCCAUAGCGCACUGAGCCAUGCAUGAGAGGGGAUGUAGAGGAAGGUAAAGCCGACUCAAUUACAGAUCACCUACUUUAUUAAUGAACAAAACUAACAGUUUGCCCACAUGUUAGUGAACUACUUUACGCCAAGCACAAAAACGCUCUUUCUUUCUAACCCUAACCCUUGAUCUGCUAAAUUAUUACUUUAAAAAACAAAAGAAAGCUAUCAUUUUUUAUAUGAGGGAAUUCAUAUUGUCAACACAUGUUUUAUUUUAGCACUAUAAAGACAGUUUCAGGGGGUGUUCUGAAGAGGGGAAAGGAAGUGUAAAUGGGCCAUUUGUCGCGCAUGUUGUGGAGAUAAGAGGGGACAGUGUAACUUUUGUAGCCACUUGCUGUGCACAACGCCAACUGUUGACAGCCUCUAUCUGCAUCUGCUCAUACAAUGAAGCCCUGGACCUGAACGCAACGUUGUUGUUGUUUUUUUUUUCGGAAUGAAGAAGAAAAAUCUGGGAAUCUUUUUUUCCUGACUUGAGUUUGUAAUGUCAGCACUAUCGAAAUAUUGCGCACAUCCAGAGGAGGCAAUUUCCAGUCAUGUAACGUCAGGACUGACUUGAUGAAGGCGUAAAAAAAAAAAAAAAAAAAAAAA